GUAAUUGCACCAUCAAAUGCGUUCUCGAUUUGUGUUGCAGUUAAAGAGGUAGUUGAUGCAAAUUCAUUUAAGAACCAAGCUCGCUUAUACCAUAAAUAUAAGAGAGCUAUAUCAUAGUCAAUGUUAUCGUUCCUUUUUGUUGUUUUCCCUAUUAAGGAUUUUAACAAAAGUGAAACAAUUUCAAGUGCCUCGAGGAAC
rnacentral:rRNA from 13 species